rnacentral:lncRNA from 1 species
UUCUUUCUUAGACCCUGCAACUUGUUCACGAAGGACUGCUACUGAUUUGGAUUCAUAUGGUCAUGGAUAGCCGGAUGAUGGGGGAUGUGACACAGGUCUGCCCUGAGGCUGUUGAUCCCUGGGUGGCCACAGCAGGUACACCUUGAAGCAUCAGCUGCAGUGCAAGAGGUCAAACUGGAACACCUGAAAGCAUGUGAUCAUGGAUAAGCCCACUACAGAGCAGCUACACCCCUAGAGGGACUGCAGCCCUCAUAGCCCAUGGGUAAGGCUGUGUUGGACAAGGUUUCUUCUGGAGAGCUGUGACCAUGGCUAAAUCUAUGCCACAGUAGAUAUAACCCUGAAG